CCCCCUGACCCACCAUGAGCCGCCUAGCUCCCUGUCGAGAUUGCCGCCGUCGCGGCUGCUGUCACCGAGGCCGGGUCAUCGGGCCGCGGGGACCUCAAAGCCGAGUGGACGGGAGCCCCAAGUCAUUGCCUAUCCUUCGCCUCCCCAGAGCUGCUGCAACUGUCAGUCACCCACCCGGAACCCCGAGGGGCAACUACCAAGUAGGCCUCGGGGCCCGGAACAAGGGUCCCGGGGCUCAGGAUCUCGGCCGCUGCGCCUCACUCCUGCCCCAGCCCCGCGCACGGAACUCGUUUCCUUCCCACCCAGUUCGGGACACUCCUCUCUGACUUCCCCAGUAGGAUCUCACUUGCAGCGCUACAGCCAGUCCCUCUUCUGGUUCUCACGCACCCACUUAAGGCGGAGUGACUGGCCUAAAAGUCCAAGCUGAUCGUGUGGCUUCCGUUCGUAAAUAUCUCCCCUGGAUCUCCCUCCCUGGAGCCAGACAAGACUCAAAACUCCGAAGGGAAUGCAGUCCCCGCAGGGCGCAAAGGAGAAACUAAUAGUCCAGAGGCGGGGUGAACUUAAAGACCUGGCUUUCAUUAGCGUGGUGUUGUAACAGACUGCCAAGGAGCCUCUAAGGAAAUGGAUUUACGUACAUAUACAUACUCGCCCUUGCCCCUGAAGCAACAUCAAAUACUUUCAUGUUAUUCUUGGGGGCGUUUUAAUUCUUCCGAUCCUCUGAAUUCGUGUUUUUGUACAUCUCUUUCCAACCUGGGCCUACACACUAACAGAAAUAGUUUUUUACAUCGAAGGACAAUGCUUAGUGUUUUAUUCAGUCUCAACUCUUUUCUUUCUUUUUUCUCGUUGUGUUUCAAAAUGUUUAUUUUUUCUGUCUUGUGAUAGUUUUGGAGGAAAAAUAUUGAAAUAAUUCAAAUCAGGCUCUUAACUCUGCUUUAUUAAAUUUAUAGUCAUAGUAGCCUGUGAGUAUGCUUCGGGGGAGGAAAAAAGAAUGCUGGGGUCUUUAUUCUUCAAGUUCUCUAAGUUUGAUAUUUUGAAUAAACACCCAGAGGUGUCUCUGCCUUUUGUGUGUUAGUAUCUAAUCUUUCCUGCAUUUACGAGUCACUAGUAAAAUGCUAUGAAAGCCAUAGAUCCCAUGGCUCUCACUGUGAUUUUCCUGGGCUGAGUAGGGACUUAGUGAUGUUUAACCCCCAGUAUGCUUUUUAUAGAAGCACCAGCUGAUUCACCAGUGCCCUCCAAAGUGAGCACCUAUCCAUCUCACUCUGGACUCCCAACAGGUCAUACCAGGGAGCUUCGUUGAAAUAGACUUGGCAUUUAAAUUAAAAUGUUUCCCAAAGCAUCUUGGCAGACCUGUAACUAAUGAUGCCAGAGGCCCAAGGCCUGUGCCAGGUUCCCUUUUAUUCCCAUAAGUGCUUGUCUCCCACAAGCCACUGGUCACACGCCUGCUGAUGUUAUAGAAGCACUUCUUCAUCCCACAAACAGCCCAACUGUAGGUACCCUAUCUCAGACAUGGUGAAGGGAAGCAGCAUGUUCCUCUGACAUGUGCGAUGCUUGGCUCCCAACAGGCUUUUUAUAAUAAGCUAAACUCAGAUUUUUUCAUCACAAAUAGCGUAGUAAGUAAUUGUUUUUCCUCAUUCCUGCUUGUCUCUCUGCAGUCACUAAGUGGUUGCUGUCCAUUCCUCAUAUUCCACAAGCAAUAUUAUUGAAGAAAUUGUAAAUAUUUUGCCAAAAUUCUUGCUGUUUUCAUGGCAUUGUGAAAUUCGUAGUAGUUGGAGUUAGAAAAAGAGCCAAAAUAUCAUAGUCAUUCCUCAGCGAAUAUUGUCUAAUGGUUCCCUCAGAUUACAUUUCAGAGCAGGGCAAUAAAAGAUAGGCAAGACAUUAAUAAAAUGCCCAUUCUAAAUAGCUCCAUGAUGCUUAUGCCAAUUUAUUUUGUCUGUAUGCAAACGGUUGGAUUCUGGUGAGUAACCUGCUCAUAUUUAAAGUAGAUACCUUUAAAAUCUCAUUCUAUCAUGCCAGCAAUACAAGGCUUUAUCUCUUUUAAAUUUUCUUCGUAUUUCAAUCCAUCUCAGAUUUUAAUCAUUGUCACUCUUCAUCAAACUGUCUUCUAUUUGCAUCAUCAAUUUAAUGCCCAGAACUUGAACUAUUCAGACUCCCUGUUCCAUAAGAACCUUCCUUCAGUCUCAAAAAUAACACUGACUCAGUUUACUGACUUCUUGCCAUCAUUUAUACCCUCGUAGGUUAUGAAUUCAUAUCUAGUUUCCAGUUCACAGGCUCCAAUAUUAGGACUCUCCAACUUUUUUUCUGAUUCAGUGAGUACUUGGCCUUCAGAUUAUUUUCUUCGUUAAUGUAUUAUGACAAUUUUCAUUUCCCAAACCUCAAUCACAUGUUAUUUCCUCUAUUUCUCCAAAGAUGCAGUUCAACCUCUGAGCCUUCAUAGUCAACUGCUGUUCAUAUGCUUAACAUAAAUGCUAACUAGAGCAGAAAGUAGAUGACCAAAAUGCUUUAAGGAAAUAGUAGAUUAUAUCAAUGUACUAGUCCACACUGGCAACUCAUUUGCUUCCUGAGUCAAUCCAAGGGGUUGAUUUUAAUCUAUUAUGCUCCUACAGCUUAAAUUAUAUUUAUUUUAUCAUGAUCCUCAACAACAAGAAAUAUGUAGCGAUUGAUUGCCUUUUUUCCUGAGCAGUAAUGUGGCAAGUUAGACCUGCCAAAAGCUUUCAUUUCCAUAUUUUCCUCUCUUCUGACACAAAAGAUCCUUCACCCAUUUUCCUUGGAUCCAUCUUCCACAAGUGUAUAUGGCUGCCAAGAAGUUAGGCACUCAGGGAAUUACAGCUAUGCUUUUCAGCCACUGAGGAGCUACUUUGCGAGUUCAUUAAGUUUUUUCAGUGGCUAUUGGUAGCACUUUGAGGGAAUCUAUUAAUCAAUGGGAAUUUGAUAAGAUCAUUCUAUCAGCAAAAGGAUACAAUAUGAUAGACUAAUAUGAGUCCCUCAAUUAGUGUAAUAACUGUUACUUAUUACACUGGUUUUAUAAAUGCUGUCUCAUGUAUAUGAUUGUAUGUCUACCACCAUUUUAUUACAGGAGUCAUUGCAAACUCAGAUGUGUAUGGGGGCCAGGUAGGUAAUGUAAUGAGUGAAGUUGGAGGGAUUUGUUUCAUAAUAGCAUCAUAAUUCUUGUUUUUCCAACAACGAUAUACUUUGCAUAUCAGAGUAAUACUCUUCCUGAUUCACUUCUGGCUUUCUAAUUUUGAUAGGGCCUUGAUACAAGAAAUAUUUCACUUUCCUCUUAACUCUAAAAAAGAUGUGUGAGCAUACUGAUAAAUAGCAACUGACACCCAGCCAGGUGUAGUAUGGCAACACAGAAUGUUAGACUCAGGUACUCUGGUGAGAAAUCUUUUGGCUACCUUGAGGGAAUCUUGGCUCAGUGCUGCCAAGACCAUCUUGUUUUUCUAGAGAAGCCAAAAAUCUGGAACAUAAAACUUGUUAUUUAGUUAGUUAGUUCAUUCUCUUAAGGGAAGGACAUCCACAAAUUGAGGUCUUCACGUAUUGUUUUUUAUGAAGUCUACAGAGAGACCUAUUUUUUUCCUAUCCCACCUCCAAACCGCAUGAUAAGCAAAGUUUAGCAAAUGCCUUCCAAAGUCUGCAUUUCUUUGGGUCUUGUCAAUCUGUUUUUUAUUGACAGGUUUAUUUUCAUGAGUUUUAAGAAGUCAGAAUAUCUGAUGACCACAUCAUUUUACACAUCCCAAUAUGUGAUGGGUUGCUACCAACCUAUUUCCCUUCAUCUACCCACUCCCAAAUCCCAACCCCAGGAAUAUUUCAUCUCUGAAAUCUGAAACUCAGAGACUCAUUGUCUAGCCAGAAACUCUGCCCUUUCAUCAGUCCCAUUCUCUUACUUCCCCCAAACCCACCUGCCAGUCUUAGCAAGACCUGUACUUUCUCCACCCCUUCCCAAUCCCUUAGUCUAUCAGCACCCUUUUUAUCCUUUUUCCCCCGACCUAGCCUGGGCCUCAUGACCAAGACCUUCAAUUAAACCACAUUCUCACUAGCAUCCUAGAUCCCUCACAUUCUUGUCCUUCUGCUGUGCCCACCUUGACAAUAUAUAGCUUUUCAUAAAUCUAACUAUGGCUUUCUCCGUGCAUGCCCCCAGGUGCCACUCUGCUGUGGAAAAAAAAUCAUAUAGCUAGGCUGUGUUACAUGUGUAUGAUUUCCGUCUUCAGCAGAGCCUCUGGUAUAUUGAGCAAUAUUUUACCGUUUGCUAAUUGCCAUAAAUCUUUAUUCUCCAAACUGUUACUCUUCAAAUCCCAACUAACCCACUAGUUCUCAAUAUCAGCAGUUGUCCUAGGAUUCUACUUCACAAAAUGCACCAAAAAAUAAACUGCUUUAACUUUUUUUCCAUUCCACUUAUUGUUACUUCACCCACCACCCCUGCUUUCUAAGGGUAACCCUGAAUCAGAAACCAUCUAUGUAUAUUUUCUAUGCUUAUUGGACUCUUCUGCUGUGAUGUGAUUGAUCUUUUGAUACCAAGGUGUUUUGUUACCCUCUAGUUGGCAGAAGCUGGAAUGGGGUCUUCCCUGAGUGAGUGGCCAAUCCCAACUUCAAUCAUACAAGGGCAGGAAGGAGUCAGGGAUUUGGAAGACAGCCUUAGACCACUUUCUCUUGGGUCUGGUGCCUUGAGUCUUCAUGGGUGCUCCAAGGGAGUGAGGAGAAGACUAGGGCCUCCAGGAGCCAGAAGGGGAAGAAGUUGCCUUCAUCAGAAACCCCAUGAGGCUGAGCCUGUGGGCUCCGAGGAUAGGGACUUUGUGUUUAAAUGUGCUUUUUAUGGUCUAAUUCCCCAAAGUUGUUAAUAAAGAGGGGUUAGUAUUAAUAACUCCUCUCAGCUGUACCAUCAUGGAUAAAGUGAUGGCCUCUGAAAGACAGAGCUACUCCUUCUCUCACCCCCACAGCCAGUGUGAUGGCUGUGGCAGCCAUGAGUGAGAUUCCAGGGGAAAGUAAGUCCCUGAGUUAAAGAGGCAAGCGGUAAUCGGAGUAGACCAACCCCUCAGGGAGCUUCUCUUUCCUUUGUAAACCUUGAAGCACUGAGGCAGUUCUUCCAGUUCUUCUACCUUGCUUUGUCACAUCUCUUGGUCCAUUCUCUAUGCAUUUUGCUUUCUUCUACAUAUAAAUACAUUCUAGACAUCCCUUCCUAAAAAUUUUUCCUCAACUCUCUUUCCUUCUCAAGCUACACCUUCUCACUCUCCUUGCUCCUCACACUGAAAUUUCUGUGUAAAAAAAAAAAAAAAAAAUUCUUUUCUCUCUGAUGUUCAUUGUUCUUUUUGUUACCAGCCUAUUGUAACUGGCUUCCAUCCCCUUCUAUGGAAACUGUCCUCCCAAAGAUCAUGGUUAAAAUCCUGUAUCAACAAACUCAAUGGCUACUUUUUAGUCUUUACCUGUCUUGGCGUUUGUGGAACAUUUAGUAUUGCUAACUCUCCUUUUAUUGUUGAAACUCUCUCUUUCCCUGAUGAGAUUCUUGGCCUGACUGUGCCCCAGGAAUCUUAAACUCAACAUACCUUCAUUUUAAUUCCUUGAAUCUGUCCUUUAUACAUCUGUUUUGUUUUGCUAUCCAUGCUGUAGACUAACUGAAUGAAGAACUCAGCAUCAACUUCCACUCCCAGGGCCUCCUGUUCCAGUUAACUGUCGAGGCAUUGUAAAUCAACUGAAAAGUACCUUUCAAACCCAUUCCCACCAGAAUGGCCUGCUUUACUGUCUCAUUGCACUAUUGUCUAUUGGACUUCUGCAAUAGCCUCCCAACCCUGCCUGCCUCUACUCCCUCCCAACUUCAAUCUAUUUCUCAAACCAUCAAAGCAUUGUCCUGGAGGAUCACUACUCAACCCCAAAGUCUCCAACAGUUCACUUUAAAACAAAUUUGAUUCCCUUUGGGAGAUGCACAAGUUCCAUCAUAACCUGGCCCAAUCUUCCUUUCUAGCAUUGUCUCCUACCUAGAUAUGUUCCAUAAAUGCUAGUCAUGUCAAUCUACUUCCCUGAAAAGGCCAUGCAGUCUCACCCUCAGUGUGUUUGCUUAUGGUGUUUGCUAGGUUUAGAAUUCCUGUUUCCCUCUCUGCAUUGGAAGAACUUAGAGGCAUUCUUCAAGAAAACACAAAUGCUUCCUCCUUUGAUAAGAUGUUUCUGACUCCGGAAAAUUAAUUGCUCCUCUAGGCUCUUAAAGCACUUAGUACAUACCUCGACAAUGGCCCUCAUUAUAAUAUAUUGCAAUUAUUUAUGUAUGAGUCUUUUUCCCCACAUGAGCUUGAGAUCAACAGAGCAUAACUUACAAAUCUUUUCUCCAUACUAAAUGAGCUCAUCAGAGUUUGACACUACAUAGGAUUAAUCCUCAAACUGUCUGCACCAGCCCAGGACCUGACAUAUCAUAUAUCUUCCAUACAUUUGUUGAUUUUAAUUAAUAAGUCUGUUUUAAAAUCCAUCUUUGCCCUUCAUAUGCUUAUAAAACCCUUUCUUAUUUCAUUAUUUCAUAAGGCCUCUUUCCUUGGUUCGACUGAAUAUGUUUUAUUCUGUGCCUUCCAACUUUUCUUCCUAUUUUUCCUUAGUAACUAAUACAAAUAAGUUCAUCAUGUUGCUAGCAUUUAUAAAUUAUAUAUGUAUUGUGUGAAAAGGACUGUAUUUGAUGCUGUGGGGGGAAGGUGACUGGGAGUUUGGGGUAGGAAAAUGGAGGCUUAUUUUUCAUUAUGUAUGCAUUACAGUUCCAAUUUUUAAAGUAGUUAAAAAUAAUAAAGGGAGCAGUCCCAGCCCUGCUAUGGUUAAUAAAAAUUGUGACCUAUCUCUGAGACGUAAGAUUAACAAAACCUUACCAGACCAAAAACAUCACCCCUUAAGCUUGGCACACUGCCUGACUCCUUUCUUAAUUAGUUGGAAAUUCUAACCAUCAACAAUACACAACACAAGAGAGGACACAAUCUCCAGAAUGUUGCUGUUAAAAUGUACAAAUUACCUGGAAAAAGGAAGCUUCCCUAGACAGCUCCCACUUACGCUCAUUAGCAAAAAAUGAGCUAAAUGUCACCCUGUUCUUUUUGGCAGAGACAUAUGGCAUUCACAUGAGAGAGAAAAGACAGAUUAAUCUUGUUACCCAGAAGGUGGCAGGACAAGUUUCGGGGGGGGCUCCCUCCCAUCCCCUACUCCAAAAAACCUUAGAGGGCGGCUUGGGCAAGUGAGGAGAGGUUGUGAGCCACAUUGUGGUUUUAUAAUCUGGCUCGAUGUCUGCCCUGAGACAGAGAAACACCUAAGAGAAGGGUUGGGAGGGCAAUGAGACUUGAGAGAACCUAGGCCUUGGAGGAAGUGAUGGAGCUGGCUUGCUGGACAGGGGUCAGAAGGUCAUUCCAGGGAAGAUGGGCAGCCCAAGCGAAGACACAUCCAAGUUCCUCUUCUACUCACUAGUCCCUAUGCAAAUGCUUCUUGCACUAUUAAACUUUAGUUAAGACACGAUGAAGAAGAGGCCUUAAAUGUUCUUUUAAAAUCAUAUGACCAUGUAAAUAGAGGAUCUUGAACUCAACUGGGACAAGGACAAGAACUAGAGGAAGUGGAUAAGCUGUAGCCACAGGGAUUUUGGGUGCCACAGAAAGGAAAUUGUCCCUGCUCUGACAUUAGGCACUGAUAUGCAUUACCAGCAAGGCCUUGGAAUUUCCUUUUCACAAGAACCUUAAGAAGGUAGACAGUUAUCUACAGGGAUGGUAUGAGCAGUUCCAGCCUGAAGGCAAAGGUCAUAAUGAAUGACUCCCUUUGACCUGCUGAUUCUGGGUAUUUAAUCACAGAUUUUUAAAAACUUUUUUGAAGUCAAAUUAGAUGUUAGAAUUUUUUUCUCAGUUUUCUUUGUCUUCAUUUUCAUGGAAUUACUAUUUGGUGUGGUGUAAUGAAAUGUUUCAGCCCUCUUCCAAACACGUAUUUCUCACGGGGGGGUUCAAUUGCCUAUUUACUGUUUUGAAAUGGAAUACCUUUGUAAUCAUAUAUUCCCGCAGUUUGAGUUCACAUGUUUCAUCUAGCUGGUCCAUUUUUCUGCCUUUUAAAUUAGGUUCACUAGUUUAUUUUUAUCAUUGAGCCAAAGAUCUCAGGAUGUUCUCUGCUUGGGGUAGAUUUUCCACUUGAAGAAUUAUAAAAUGACCCUCUUCCUAACAUGGUAACUUCUUUGAUGCUGUACACUUGCUGUGUUUGUAACAGUUAGGGGAAAUUAAAGUGUCUGGUAGAGUACAAUAUUAAUGCUAUUAGAGUACAUGGAGAAAUUUUAAAUCUCCCUCAAUCUCUAUUUCUGAUGAUGGAUUCCUUGGGGUUUUAACUCUAUGUUGUAUUCAAAAUAGUGUUUGGUUUUUUUUUUUUAAUCGUCAUAUUCUCCAGUGUCAAACUCAGCAUUAUUGCUUCCACAAAUACUUUGUACAUUGAACCAUCUCUAUGUUAUUUUAUUCAUCUGUUCCUCUAAGAAGACCUUGUUAAUCUACAGUGACAUUUCAGCCAUAAAAAUGAGUUC